rnacentral:rRNA from 1 species
UACGAAGGGGGCUAGCGUUGUUCGGAAUCACUGGGCGUAAAGCGCACGUAGGCGGAUCGAUCAGUCAGGGGGUGAAAUCCCAGAGCUCAACUCUGGAACUGCCUUUGAUACUGUCGAUCUAGAGUAUGGAAGAGGUGAGUGGAAUUCCGAGUGUAGAGGUGAAAUUCGUAGAUAUUCGGAGGAACACCAGUGGCGAAGGCGGCUCACUGGUCCAUUACUGACGCUGAGGUGCGAAAGCGUGGGGAGCAAACAGG